rnacentral:tRNA from 1 species
GUACUGGUGAUUCAGUGGUAGAAUUCUUGCCUUCCAUGCAGGAGACCCAGGUUCGAUUCCCAGCCAAUGAA